UGAAAGAACAAUUCUCAACUUCAUAUGAGAAAACAAACAAACAAACAAACAAGUCAAAAGUCCUGUAUAAUAAAAGAACUUCCGGGUUUCCAUCUGCGCCCAGAGCUGACCCUAUGUCACAGCUCUCCAUACCCAAAUUCCACCCAGAGAGAGCAGGUCUCUCAGGAGUGCUGACAUAUAAGCUUACAGGAAGGACAAGCCACAGUCAGAGACAGCAAGACCAGCUAACACCAGAGAUAACCAGAUAGUGAGAGGCAAGUGCAAGAACAUAAGCAACAGAAACCAAAGCUACUUGGAAUCAUCAGAACUCAGUUCUCCCACCACAGUAAGCCCUGGAUACCCCAAAACACCAGAAAAACAAGGCUCUGAUUUAAAAUCACAUCUAAUGAUGAUGAUAGAGGACUUUAGGAAGGACAUAAACAACUCCCUUAAAGAAAUACAGGACAACACAGGUAAACAGGUAGAAGCCCUUAAAGAGAAAACACAAAAAUCCCUUAAAGAAUUACAGAAAAACACAACCAAGCAGGUGAAGGGAUUGAACAAAACCAUCCAGGAAAUAGAAACAAUAAAGAAAUCACAAAGGGAGACAACCUGGAGAUAGAAAACCUAGGACAGAGAUCAGGAGUCAUAGAUGCAAGCAUCAUCAACAGAAUACAAGAGAUAGAA
rnacentral:lncRNA from 1 species